rnacentral:sRNA from 1 species
UUAAUAAAAAAAAAAAAGAAGUAGGUGCAAGCUACUUAGGAGAAAUGCUUGAUGUUUGUGUUAUUCAACUUUCCUUUGCCAUGACACCACAAAUGUCUUACCUAUCAGAUGCUUUUUCAGCUUGGAUUGUGGAGUUGAGGAGACCACAAAGCCACAGCUCACCUGACAAGAAUGUGUGUUAGAGAACUGAACCAUUAUUUUUAAAUGUGUCUUGUUGCAAUUGAGAUUUGGACAUCAUUAUAUAAAAAUAGAAUCCAUAUCAUGUCACGCUACUUCUCAAAAGCAGUCAAGACUUUCGGUGAUGUCUCCUGUGCCUACUAAUAAGGAAAAACCUUUCUGUCCACAUGGCUCCACCUAACUUCACUUCUAAAAAAGAACAAUUGGUGCAUCUGGUUUAUCUGGCAUUGGCUGGAUGAUCCUGAUGGCAGCAGGACUUCUACAGAAUGUGGAGGUAGCUGUGUGCCAUACAAUGAAGGUCAGGGUACACAACUGUGCUGGUUGGACCUCCGGAAGGCCCUAUUCCUGAAACUGUGUUUCUGUCAGCCAAAGGUAGGAUUGUGGAUGAAUCUGACUGGGAUGGGAUUGGUAGAACAGAUUUCCAAGCUGGUUAGUCUUGGGGCCCCCAAAGGUUUCUAUGGGGAAGCAGGAUGCUUUUGGAAUCCCUCAAGAGGCCUCCAGAGUGAAGAGAGAACCCAGAACUUUAAAAAAAUUUUAUUCUGACACUUUUUCUAUUUAAAACAUGGAUAUAUAGCUCACAUUUACUUUGGCUAAGUACUUUGCCAUUGUACACAUAAGAUAUAAUUACAUAUAAUUUUUAAUA